rnacentral:rRNA from 1 species
GACGAACGCUGGCGGCGUGCUUAACACAUGCAAGUCGAGCGGUAAGGUCCUUUCGGGGGUACACGAGCGGCGAACGGGUGAGUAACACGUGGGUGACCUGCCCUCAGCUCUGGGAUAAGCCUGGGAAACCGGGUCUAAUACCGGAUAUGACUCCAUGACGCAUGUUGUGGGGUGGAAAGCCUUGUGCGGCUGAGGAUGGGCCCGCGGCCUAUCAGCUUGUUGGUGGGGUGAUGGCCUACCAAGGCGACGACGGGUAGCCGGCCUGAGAGGGCGACCGGCCACACUGGGACUGAGACACGGCCCAGACUCCUACGGGAGGCAGCAGUGGGGAAUCUUGGACAAUGGGGGCAACCCUGAUCCAGCGACGCCGCGUGUGUGAAGAAGGCC